CGGGGAUUCCCCCGCCGCCCGCGGGGGGACGCGCUCAGGAGCGGGGCUGGGGAACCCGGUCAGCGCCGGCGGGGAGCGGGGGCCGCCAAAACGGCCGUGUCCUCCCCCCCGCCUGCUCCGUGCCGGGCGGGGGCCCCGGGAGGCGCCGCGUCCGGGAGAGGCCAGACCCGGCCCCGCGCCGCCCGGACCUGGGCAUCCCGUGAGGAGCCCCCGCCGCGGGGGGCAGCGCCAGGAAAUGGAUCCGUGGUUCUGUGUGUAAUGUGACAUGCAGAGCUGUCAAGCUGUGACACCGGGGAUGAGUGAGAUGCUUAAAUGGCAGAAAUUCGAUUUUUAGUGGCACACUGGCAACACAGACCCAGCACUUCAUCACAAGGAUGACACCUUCUAAAAGCUCUUUUAAAAUAAAUCAGAGUGGGGAUGUGCUUCUUUUAAAAAUGACUGUGUUUAAACCAGUUUCAGGAAUGAGGAAACCAUGUAACGGUUUCAUUAUUAAAUCAAGUGAGUAAGGUUCAGGAGAUUUUGGUGAGAAGGGAUUCCGGUGCAUGUAGAGAUGCAGUUCAAACCCACAUAAUCUGGAGCUGUUUAGGAGACCUCCGUCAACUACUUGUCGUACAAACCACAUUCCUCUUACAACUAAAAGCAAUUAAGCUUGAAAAGCACUUGGAGCUGACUACCUUUAGGCUAUCUGCUACUUACACCUCACUGGCGUUCCCAAGUGGAGAACGGCACUGCACUUACUGUUUGCAAGCUCGUGGUGUACAGCCGGCCUCAGGGGGCUCCCCAGGAGAACAUGCCAGACAUGCUGUUGCUCUUCCUGACAUCAAGUGACCGACCACAGUUCCUCUUCCACCAUCCUGGAAGACAAUGAUGGAGGCCUUAGCACAAAGAGUACAAGUGGGUUCUCAUUAAGUACAACAGUAGCUUUGCCGAACAGACUUAGGAGCGAGGUCUGUAACCCUAUGCUGGGCACACUAAUGCGUCCGGUUUGGUGAGCUGCUUCAGUGAGUCAGCCCUACACUGCCUACUUUAUGAUAGCAAAUCGAGUCAUGGCUUCAAAUCCUGCAAGCGAAUAAUAUUUAGCACAAUCUCUUUGUGGGAGGGAUGACUACCCUUAUUGCCUUGGACACUGGGACAAUAACUCAGCAAUAACAAUGAAUACAAAAGUAAACUAAUUAAUUUGUGAAAUUAAAAAAGCAAGUCCAACAAUUGCCAAGAAGAGAAAGAACAGAAACAAUACCCCAGGUUCAGUCCCAGUUCUGCGGUCCCUAAACACCGAUAUACAGCAGAGAAACCACUUAUUCUUAUUGCACUCCUGUAGUUCCUGGUUGGUUUGGGGUUUGUUUUUUGUGAAUUGGCAAUACUGUAUCAACUGGCAAUUAAAUCAAACUGGCUUAUUUUCA